AAAAAAAAAAUGUUGCAAGACUUGUUUUCAAUGGCAGAGUCAGACCUACCUAAGGAAAGAGUCAAGUAACUGGGAUAAGGAUGAGCCAAACUUAAAAACGUCUAUGGAUAGUUGCAGUGUGGUGUUGAAAGUGUCUCAGUGCUCGUUUAAGAAGGAAUCCAAAUAUUAAACUGGUUCAAGUGGAUUCUUCCUGCCUGCUCUCCCUGUGAUUCUUCUCAUUUGUGGUACUCUCGUCCCUUCACUUGGGGGGAGGGCAUUUAGUCAAAUGUGAAUUUUGAAUUCUUCCUAGCUGUUCUGUUUCAUCUUUAAAUAUCUGCUGAAUCAUGAUUUGUCUUUCUCAAAACGUUUUCUGAGGUAGAUUGAUGUUCAUGAUCGAUGACGCAUUGCCAGCAGCCUGAGGAAAAUGAACCAGCUGCUGUUUAUGAAUUACCAGGCUAAUCUAAUGAAUUUUAUUUCCUGAACCAACUUAUCUUAUGGUGAUUGGGAAGCUAUUGCAUUUAGAAGCUCAAUUACUAUAAUUUAGCUGGAAUCAUCAUCAUAUAUAUUUUUUCACAAGAUAUAUAUAGCUAUAUAUAUCUAAUCAUAAGAUAUAUUUAUAUAUACUCAUAAGAUAUAUACAGUAAUAUAUAAUAACAUGUAUAAGCAUAUAUAUAUAUAUAUAUAUAUAUAUAUAUACACACACAUAUAUACACACACAGAUACAUAUAUGUUGUCUCAGUUGCUAAUAGCACAAUAUCUCACUCUUGGAAAGUAAUGAAGAGUUUUAAUUUGACUCACACUUCUGGUCCAAGCCAAAAACUGCAUCUAGUGUGUCUAUCUGGAAUAGUCCUAAGAAGGGGCAAUGUACCACAAGGAGAGACAGAAAGCAAAGACCUAGUCUGGCUGGCUUAUAGGGCAGACAUACUCUUAAGAGAACCCUUUAAUCUAUGCAUUAUAUUUAGAAUACAGUCCAUGUUCUUAAGGACAGAAUCCUAGCUACCUCUAAAAGCUCUCACAUUUUCCCACCGUGUUUCAUAAUGGAGAUUAAAUUUCAGUGUGACUGACUGUUGAGUUACUUUGAUAAGCAACAAUGCUUACUUAAAUUGAACCCUGGAACCCACAGGUAUGAGGGAGAAUUGACUCCCACAGCCAUCUUCUGAUUUACACACACACACACACACACACACACACCAUACACACACAUGCUGCAGGGGGCAGGGAGUUUCAAAUAAAUGCAAAAAAAAAAAAAAAAGAGUCCAGCAUUAAUUUUGUAGGAACAAACCAUAUUCAAAUCAUGUCAUUGUAAAGUAGAUUUUAAAAAAUGUCUUAGGCUGGGGUUAGUAGAGCUAUUGACUAGCAUACAUAAGGAACUGGAUUGGAUCCAUGGUACCAUGUGCACAUAGAAAAAAUUGACCUGUUCUAUUUGAAAGGAAACAGUGGCUAUCAUUUGGGUGUUGAACUAAUAAGAGGCAAGUUUUCUGAAGUCAUCUUAAUUUUAAAAUCACAAUUGACUUAUCUCCUUGGUUUCCUGUGUUUGUUGUUGCUGCUUUUUUUUGUUGUUUGUUUUGUUGUUGUUUUUUGUUUUGUUUUGUUUUUGUUCUUUGUUUUGUUUUGUUUUGUUUUAGAACUCACCCAGAUAUCCUUGAAAACAAACAAACAAACAAACAAAAAACUAUGAUAGCUGAUCUAGUUAGGAUUUUAGACAGAACUAACAGGAAAACCAAAACUAUCCAAAG
rnacentral:lncRNA from 1 species